GGGCGACUGAGUGGCAGCUCGCAGAAACGGGUUCCCAACCAGUGGAUCAAGGUGGUAGACAACAUUUUGGAGGGCCGCAUCACACCUUGGAAAAAGUAAAUCAGCAGCUCUGUUUUUGGUGGUUUCUUGCUUGAUUGUUGAAAGGAAUUGCAAUGGGGUCAAGGAUAAUAUCAUAUGAAACAGAGAACAAAGCACAAGUUCAACUGUACUGUCUGCUGUACUGCAGCUCAGGAUGCUGAUGGAGUUUGGAAGCUGGAGAGUGCUGCAGUCGCUAUCAGGUCAUUUGCUUUCCCUUUGAAGGAAUGCUCCUUGAGGAGACCUGGUGGGUUAAGACUUUUUUAAUGAAACUAGAUUGAUGUGAGACUUGAAGAUGUGCUGGAGGCUCCAUGGCCCCUCCUCCCCCCGUCUCCUCCGCCCGUCUCCUCCUGUCUCCUCCUCCUGUCUCCUAUCAACCUUGCUGAAACCACAGAAAGGAACAGUUGGAACAAAUGCGCCUUCAAUGGGCCGACACCACGGGGAUGUCAUUCUCCAGGCCGAGCCAGCCGGCCCACUGGGGAUUCAGUAAUGUGUAUGUCAUUGUUGGGCCGAGGAUGAUGGCGCUGCAUGUUGUUUUAAGGGCUUAAACCUUCCCAAUGAGCCCAUUGUGUGAGGAUCCUACCCUCAGCUGUCUCUUGCCCUGGAGUAACGUUAGACAAGAUGGAGUGGUUUGAAGCCCUGGGCUCUUUGGCAAUUAUGGACUCAUAAGUCUAUUAUCUUCUGAUUAAAAGAUUUUCUGGAGCUGUCACUUUUGUUUCCCAUAAUUAAAAAAGAGAAAACUUUAACAAUUUAAGGACGACAGAUGUUUUAUAUUACUUCUCCUGCUUAAGACUAGAUCUCUUCUGUGUGCUGCUUCAGUGUUGUGGGUCUUGAUGCUAUGAUGAUGGGACAGUCUGCUCUUGUUAUGGGUUUUUAUAGCCUACUACAUUUCACAAUG